rnacentral:rRNA from 1 species
GAUGAACGCUAGCUACAGGCUUAACACAUGCAAGUCGAGGGGAAACGACAUCGAAAGCUUGCUUUUGAUGGGCGUCGACCGGCGCACGGGUGAGUAACGCGUAUCCAACCUGCCCAUCACUUGGGAAUAACCUUGCGAAAGUAAGACUAAUACCCAAUGAUAUCCCACGAAGGCAUCGGAAUGGGAUUAAAGAUUUAUCGGUGAUGGAUGGGGAUGCGUCUGAUUAGCUUGUUGGCGGGGUAACGGCCCACCAAGGCAACGAUCAGUAGGGGUUCUGAGAGGAAGGUCCCCCACAUUGGAACUGAGACACGGUCCACACUCCUACGGGAGGCAGCAGUGAGGAAUAUUGGUCAAUGGGCGAGAGCCUGAACCAGCCAAGUAGCGUGCAGGAAGACGGCCCUAUGGGUUGUAAACUGCUUUUAUAAGGGAAUAAAGUGGGUCACGUGUGACUUUUUGCAUGUACCUUAUGAAUAAGGACCGGCUAAUUCCGUG